UACGGGGGGGGCAAGCGUUGUUCGGAAUUACUGGGCGUAAAGGGCUCGUAGGCGGCCAACUAAGUCGGACGUGAAAGCCCCGGGCUCAACCUGGGAACUGCAUUUGAGACUGAAGAACUCGAGUUCGGGAGAGGAUGGCGGAAUUCCCAGUGUAGAGGUGAAAUUCGUAGAUAUUGGGAAGAACACCGGUGGCGAAGGCGGCCAUCUGGACCGAGACUGACGCUGAGGCGCGAAAGCGUGGGGAGCAAACAGG
rnacentral:rRNA from 1 species